ensembl:lncRNA
GGUUGAUAGAUUGGCACAUGAUGCCUCUCCCUCAGUAGUUUGCCUGUGUAGAUGGUUGAUAGAAAGUUGUACUAAAUUAAUGUCUUCUUCCGUAGCUUGCUUAGCAUGCUCUCCCAUCAAGAAAAUGGAGUGUGGUGUGUGAAGAUGUGAUGUGUGAAGAUUUGAGGACGGGAAUUGGUGUGAAGAUUUGAGGACGGGAAUUGGUGUGAAGAUUUGAGGACGGGAAUUGGAUAUGUGUACCAAUAUGAAACUCCGGCUGGAUCUGAAAUUGAGGUGUACUCAAACAGUGUUUGUGGAGAUCUUAUGACUCCAAUAGCCUACUGUGGCAUGAACAAGCCUUUUGAGGCACAUCUCUCUGAUAAGGUGAUAAAUGUGAACAACAGUGCUGUCAUCCUCUCUGAAUGCCUGAAUCUGACAUUCACAUUCUUUCAUGUUCUCCAGGGCAAGGUGGAGGAGUGCCAUUUGUAUUACAUUGUUGCAGGGCAAGGUGGAAGAGUGCCAUUUGUAUUACAUUGUUGCAGGGCAAGGUGGAGGAGUGCCAUUUGUAUUACAUUGUUGCAGGUAAAGAAUGAUUUUCCUAUUUUCUUUCAUUUUAAACUUCUUGCACUUUCAUAUUGAUACAUAUAUCCAAGGCAGUUAACGCUAAUUUCUCUGGAUAAGAGCGUCUGCUAAAAUGUAAAAAACGUAGACUGACAAUUCAACUGACAUUUUAAUUUACAAUCCGACUGACACCUCGGACAACACAUCAGGAAAUGGAGACAAAGCCAAAGCCACUGGCCACACAAAGGAAAUCACUGCUGGUGUUCUUGGUUCUGCUGCUGGGCAUUGCUGGUUUCUUAGUGUACAGAUAUGGCAACAUUCCUUGGAGAGACAAACAUCCAUUUGCUCUUACACAGCUUAGAUCGGCUGGGUCGGGACUACCUUAACACCAACAGGGAAAAACAAAGGGACCAGGGGGAUGGGGUGGAAGAGGAGAGGGAGCCACCACACAGUCAGGAGACACAUGUUGAGUCCUCUCUGCUGAAUGGGCAUCUUGUGAACAGGUUAACCUUUCUCUGAGAAAGACCCUCAUUACUUCAUUACCGGUUGGGUUUCAUUAUCCUCAGUCAGAGCUGAUCCCAUGAGUCAUUGAUCCCACAGGUUUAAUAGAAAGACCCGUUUGUUUAACACGUGCUCCUUAUAUUCUAAUACCUGUAAUACCUAAUGAGCAUGGUAAAUGCUCAUGCAAGGAGAGAGAGGUGAGCCCAUUCAGCCAAUGGGCCGUGAGGGAACAGAUACUGAAUUCUCUCAGAAGAGAAAUGCUGGAUUUCAUUUUGAGACAGUUUGCUACAGCAGGAAAAUAAUCCUGCAGCAACAGGAAAUGUGAAUUGUUACGUGAGUUGAUAGAUUUUUCAUUAGGGCAAAUCAAAUCGGUCAUUUUAAGGUAGAAAUUACCAACUUUCAAUGCCCUUUUAAACUUUGAAUACACUACAGGUUUGCAUUUCCUGCUGUGCAGGAAAAUGCUCAGCAACCAAAGAGUGAUCAAUUUAAGAUCGUACCUCUGUAAUCUCACAAUGGGGC